rnacentral:rRNA from 1 species
UACGGAGGGUGCAAGCGUUAUCCGGAUUCACUGGGUUUAAAGGGUGCGUAGGUGGGCAGUUAAGUCAGUGGUGAAAUCUCCGGGCUCAACCCGGAAACUGCCAUUGAUACUAUCUGUCUUGAAUAUCGUGGAGGUAAGCGGAAUAUGUCAUGUAGCGGUGAAAUGCUUAGAUAUGACUUAGAACACCAAUUGCGAAGGCAGCUUGCUAGACAAAUAUUGACGCUGAGGCACGAAAGCGUGGGGAUCAAACAGG